CCUGGUUGAUCCUGCUAGUGGUCAUAUACUUGUCUCAAAGAUUAAACCAUGCAUGUAUAAGUAUGAACUAAUUCAAACUAUGAAACUGCAAAUGGCUCAUUAAAUCAGUUAUAAUUUUUUAGAUGGUAUCUAGCAUUCAGAUAACUAUAAUAAUUUGAGAGCUAAUACAUACAACAAACCCUGAAUUCUUAAUAGGAUGCAUUUGUUAGAUAAAAGGUCAAUGCGGGCUUUGCCUAUUGCUUUGAUGAUUCAUGAUAACUUGAUGGAUCACACAACCUUUGUGUCGACGACACAUCAUUCAAAUUUGCCCUAUCAACUUUUGAUGGUAGGAUAAUUGCCUACUAUGGUGGUGUUAGGUAGCUAAGAAUUAGGAUUCAAUUUUGGAGAGAAAGCCUAAGAAAUGACUAUCACAUCCAAGGAAGGUAGUAGAUGUGCAAAUUAUCCAAUCCUAGCACAAAGACGUAGUGACAAUAAAUAACAAUACCAGGCUUUAUGAGUUUGGUAAUUAGAAUGAGUACAAUCUAAAUCCCUUAACGAUGAUCCACAAGUCUGGUGCUAGCAACUGUGGUAAUUCUAGCUUCAAUAACGUAUAUUUAUGUUGUUGCAGUUAAAAAGUUCAUAGUUGGAACUACGGUUGGGCUAUCUGGUCUACCUUAUGGUGAGCACCAGUCUAUUGGUCCCUACUAUUGGUGAUGCACUUUAGGCCUUAUAGCUUGGUCAUUCCUCCAAUGCUAUUACUUUGAAAAAAUUAAAGUGCUCAAAGUAGGCCUAUGCUUGUAUACAAUAGCAUGGGAUAACAUUAUUGGAUUUUGAUCCUAUUGUGUUGGCCUUUAGGAUCAUAGUAAUGAUUAACAGGGAUAGUUAGAGGCAUUCAUAUUUUAUAGUUAGAGGUGAAAUUCUUGGAUUUAUGAAAGAUGAACAACUGCGGAAGCAUUUGCCAAGGAAGUUUUCAUUGAUAAAGAAUGAAGUUAGGGGCUUGAAGAUGAUCAGAUAUUGUCCUAAUCUCAACGAUAAAUGAUGCCAAGCAGGGAUUAAUGGAUUUACUUUUAGGACUCCACCUUCACCUUAUGAGAAAUCAAAGUCUUUGGGUUUUGGGAGGAGUAUGGUCACAAGGUUGAAACUUAAAGUAAUUGAUGGAAGGGCACCAUCAAGAGUGGAGCCUGAGGCUUAAUUUGACUUAACAUAGGGAAACUUACAAGGUCUAGACACAGUAAGGAUUGACAGACUGAGAGCUCUUUAUUGAUUCCAUGGGUGAUGGUGUAUGGCCAUUCUUAGUUGGUGGACUGAUUUGUCUGGUUAAUUUUAUUAACGAAUGAGACCUCAGCCUGUUAACUAGCUAAACGGAGGUGAUCCUUUGUGGGUAGCUUCUUAAAGGGACUAUGGUAGCUUAGGCCAAGAAAGUUUGAGGCAAUAACAACUUUGUGAUACCCUUAGAUUUUUUGGGCUGCACACUUGCUACAUUAAUGUAUUCAACAAGUAUAUAGCCUUGAUUGAUAGGACUGAGUUAAUCUUUGAAAUUUCAUCAUGAUGGGAAUAGAUCAUUGCAAUUAUUGGUCUUCAACAAGAAUAUCCUAAUAACCAUAAGUCAUCAGCUUGAGUUUACUAUGUCCCUACUUUUUGUAUACAUUAUCCAUCACUCCUAUUGAUUGAAUGGUCCGAUUAAGUGUUCGGAUCAUGACAAUGUUGAUGGUUUGUUGCCCACAACAUCAUAAGAAGUCCACUAAACCUUAUCAUUUAGAAGAAGGAGAAGUUGAAACAAGAUUUUUGUAAGUGAACCUGUAGAAG
rnacentral:rRNA from 1 species